AACAUCAUAUUUGUAAUCAUGCUGCUCAAAUUUUAAUAUAUACCUAUUAAUUGACAGGACUACAUUCACCGAAUUGGUCGCACUGGCCGUGGUGAAGGACAGACAGGACAGGCGCUCUUAUUCCUGCGACCAGAAGAAGAAAAAUUUAUUGCUGUUUUAAAGGGAAUGAAUGUUGAGAUUGAUCAGCUAGAAUUCCAGGGAGAGUUUAAUGAUAUACAACAGCAGCUGUUCUCACUGGUUUCUGAUGAUAGAGACAUCCGCCAGAUAGCAAAACAGCAUACAAGAAAUUUUUACGAGCCUACCAGUGCCACAAGCUCAGAAAAAUAUUUAAUGUUCAAACCCUGGAUCUGAACCAAGUCUGUCAAGCUUUUGGCUUCACAAACCACCUUUGGAACUUGGCAAGCUGACGUGAGGUUUUAAACAGGAUUUAAAGAAUAUUAGUCUUAUUUUAUUUGUAUAUAUUAUAUUUAUAUAUUGACAUUUACAGAUGUAUUUUGUGAAUAAAAUAUGAAUAGUAUGA